GGGCGUGUAGCUCAGUGGUAGAGCUCUGGUUUUACACACCAGCGUCGGGGGUUCGAAACCCUCCGCGCCCA
rnacentral:tRNA from 1 species